rnacentral:rRNA from 1 species
AGAGUUUGAUCCUGGCUCAGGAUGAACGCUAGCUACAGGCUUAACACAUGCAAGUCGAGGGGAAACGGCAUUGAGUGCUUGCACUCUUUGGACGUCGACCGGCGCACGGGUGAGUAACGCGUAUCCAACCUUCCCAUUACUGUGGGAUAACCUGCCGAAAGGCAGACUAAUACCGCAUAGUCUUCGAUGACGGCAUCAGAUUUGAAGUAAAGAUUUAUCGGUAAUGGAUGGGGAUGCGUCUGAUUAGCUUGUUGGCGGGGUAACGGCCCACCAAGGCGACGAUCAGUAGGGGUUCUGAGAGGAAGGUCCCCCACAUUGGAACUGAGACACGGUCCAAACUCCUACGGGAGGCAGCAGUGAGGAAUAUUGGUCAAUGGACGUAAGUCUGAACCAGCCAAGUAGCGUGCAGGAUUGACGGCCCUAUGGGUUGUAAACUGCUUUUGUUGGGGAGUAAAGUGAGGCACGCGUGCCUUUUUGCAUUUACCCUUCGAAUAAGGACCGGCUAAUUCCGUGCCAGCAGCCGCGGUAAUACGGAAGGUCCAGGCGUUAUCCGGAUUUAUUGGGUUUAAAGGGAGCGUAGGCUGGAGAUUAAGUGUGUUGUGAAAUGUAGACGCUCAACGUCUGAAUUGCAGCGCAUACUGGUUUCCUUGAGUACGCACAACGUUGGCGGAAUUCGUCGUGUAGCGGUGAAAUGCUUAGAUAUGACGAAGAACUCCGAUUGCGAAGGCAGCUGACGGGAGCGCAACUGACGCUUAAGCUCGAAGGUGCGGGUAUCAAACAGGAUUAGAUACCCUGGUAGUCCGCACAGUAAACGAUGGAUGCCCGCUGUUGGUACCUGGUAUCAGCGGCUAAGCGAAAGCAUUAAGCAUCCCACCUGGGGAGUACGCCGGCAACGGUG